rnacentral:misc_RNA from 1 species
GAAAUGCGAUAAGUAAUGUGAAUUGCAGAAUUCAGUGAAUCAUCGAAUCUUUGAACGCACAUUGCGCCCGCCAGUAUUCUGGCGGGCAUGCCUGUUCGAGCGUCAUUUCAACCCUCAGGUCCCCCUCUCCCCCAAGCGGGAUGGGAAGCACCUGGUGUUGGGGACCGGCGGGAGACCGCCACCCCUGAAAUGCAUUGGCGGCCUCGUCGCGAGCUUCCCUGCGUAGUAGCAACAACCUCGCAGCCGGAGCGCGACGCGGCCACUGCCGUAAAACGCCCAGACUCUUCCAGAGUUGACCUCGAAUCAGGCAGGAAUACCCGCUGAACUUAA